GUAAGCGUUCGAUAGGCGGUUUGUUAAGUUAGAUGUGAAAGUUUGGCUCCCUGGUAACUGCAUUUAAAACUGGCAAACUCGAGAAAGGGGGGGGAAGUGGAAUUUCAGGUGUAGCAGUGAAAUGCGUAGAGAUCUGAAGGAACACCAGUGGCGAAGGCGACUUCCUGGACUAAAACUGACGCUGAGGAACGAAAGCGUGGGUAGCAAACGGGAUUAGAUACCCCGGUAGUCCACGCCGUAAACGAUGUCAACUAGCCGUUGGGCCUAUAUACAGGUUUAGUGGCGGAGCUAACGUAUUAAGUUGACCGCCUGGGGAGUACGGCCGCAAGGUUAAAACUCAAAUGAAUUGACGGGGGCCCGCACAAGCGGUGGAGCAUGUGGUUUAAUUCGAUGCAACGCUAAGAACCUUACCUACCCUUGACAUCCAGAGAAUCUGUUAGAGAUAGUAGAGUGCCUUCGGGAACUCUGAGACAGGUGCUGCAUGGCUGUCGUCAGCUCGUGUCGUGAGAUGUUGGGUUAAGUCCCGUAACGAGCGCAACCCUUAUCCUUAGUUGCUAGCAGGUCAUGCUGAGAACUCUAAGGAGACUGCCGGUGAUAAACCCGGAGGAAGGUGGGGACGACGUCAAGUCAUCAUGGCCCCUUUAUGGGUAGGGCUACACACGUGCUACAAUGGUCGGUACAGAGGGCCGCAAACUCGUGAGAGUAAGCAAAUCCCAGAAAGCCGAUCUUAGUCCGGAUUUGCAGUCUGCAACUCCGACUGCAUGAAGUUGGAAUCGCUAGUAAUCCGCGAAUCAGAAUGUCGCGGUGAAUACGUU
rnacentral:rRNA from 1 species